GACGAACGCUGGCGGCGUGCUUAACACAUGCAAGUCGAACGGGAUCCGGGCUUUCGGGUUUGGUGAGAGUGGCGAACGGGUGAGUAACACGUGAGUAACCUGCCCCCUUCUUUGGGAUAACGUCGGGAAAUCGGCGCUAAUACUGGAUAUUCUUGCUGCAUCGCAUGGUGUGGUUUGGAAAGGGUUUCUGGUGGGGGAUGGGCUCGCGGCCUAUCAGCUUGUUGGUGGGGUGAUGGCCUACCAAGGCUUUGACGGGUAGCCGGCCUGAGAGGAUGUCCGGCCACACUGGGACUGAGACACGGCCCAGACUCCUACGGGAGGCAGCAGUGGGGAAUAUUGCACAAGGGGCGCAAGCCUGAUGCAGCGACGCCGCGUGAGGGAUGACGGCCUUCGGGUUGUAAACCUCUUUCAGUAUGGAACAAGGAUCCUUCGUUUGGGGGGUUUGAGGGUACGUGCAGAAGAAGCGCCGGCUAACUACGUG
rnacentral:rRNA from 1 species